GGGGCGGGCGGGGGCGGGGCUGCGCUCGGAGAAGGAUAAAGGCAGCCUGGGCCGGGCGCGGGGGCUCGGCUUCGGCGCUACGUCAUCGGCGGGGCCCCGGAGCCGCGCUCCCCUCGGCUUGGGACCCAGGCUAUAGGGUGAGUCAGGAAGGGGCCGGCCAUUCGGAAGAACAAAUAUUUAUCUGCGUGGCUUCGUAAAAUCCAAGGAAAUCGCCUUUGCUUCGCAUAAAUGGGGUGGGCUACCAAGAGUCUAAAGUAGAAAUACCGCUGGCCGCCGUGAAGGAGCUUAGGACAACCGUCCACCCCGCCCCCCCACCAUGAACCCCAUCCUCCCAAGCUUCCUUCCCCCCAUUCAUAAAGGAAAAAAAUCGAGGCAAAAAACUCCCAAGAAAUGUAAGAGAGCAUGGCCUCGUUCCUCGGGCUUUGAGCCAUCUCCUCCCGCCUCUCUGUGGUUACUCAGUCGUAGCAACUUGCUGUCCCCAUCCUUCAUCCCCAGGAGGUUGUGUGGUUGCAUUGGCACGUUGUGGGAAGAGGGGGGGAAUCUGGAGUCAGUCCUUUACCCCGCUUCUUGGACAAGUCGCUUUAAAGUCUUUGGGUCUCCUUGUCCUCACCUGCCAAAGAUGAAGUUGGACAAACUGACCUCUGAGGCCGCCUCCUGAGCAAAACUUACUAACCAAGGUGGAAAGACCUGGUCUUCGAAAAAUAAAAGAAACCAAGAUUUGGAGUCAAAAGACCUACGUUUAAUCCCAGCGCCGCUGCUUAUUACUUUUGUGACCUUGGACAAAUCAACUUACUUCUCUGUGACUCCGCUCAUCUGUAAAGCGGCUGUAGAUGAGUUCCUUGAAAAGCCUGGAUUGUUUCCUUUUUGCCUCUAAAUCCCUAGUCCAUCAGUCAACAAGCAUUUGUUAAGUGCCUUUGGUGUGCCAGGUGGGAGGAUAGAAAGACAAAGAAUGAGACACUCCCUGUUCUCAAAGAGUUUAUGUUGUAUUGAGAAUGCCCAAAAGAGAUGCCUCCGUGAAUGCUCAUCACUGCUUCUUGGUGAACUACUUGUAAUAAUCUGGAAAACAAGCUGUCUUCCUCCACCUUAUCGACGUGAAUGGGCUGAGUUAUUUUGAAUAAUUCUGGAUCCCAUGUGGGGUUCCAGGAAUAUUCCUGGACUGGAUGUGAACAGAACAAUGUUAUCUAUAAACAGGCACACAUCAAGAUGUCAGCAUCCCUGGUGAAGCUCUGUUCUCUUCUCUGAUAAUGCCACACCCCGGAGCAGGUCCUCAUCACCACAAGCUGGAACUGUUGCAGUCAUGUCCUGGUGGGACUACCUCCUUCAAGUGGCUCCCCAGCCUUAUUCCUCCGCUCGGCUGCUGGUGACCUUGUGAAAAGGCACACCUGACCUUGUCACUUACACCAUCCCUCUCCACACUCAACCAACUAGAGCUCCCUUUUAUCAUCCAUGACAAAAAGACUUAGGGGAAUGAUAGGGGUAGCUAACAUUCACAUAACACUUUAAGGUUUUCAAAGAGCUUUACAAAAAUCUCAAUUUAUCAUCACAACAACCUAAGAAGUAAAUGCUAUUACUGCCCCCAAUCUACUGGGGAGGAAACUGAAGCAGAAAGUACUUAAGUGAGUUAGUUGUCAAGGGUCACGCAGCUAAUUAGUGUCUCAGGUCAGAUUUGAACUCAGGUAUCCCUGAUUCCCCGUCCAGUACUGCCCAGCUGCCUACCAGCAUGUCAGACAUACCACUUGAUAAACGCUGAGGACAUGGAUGAGGGUAGCAGAGGACUAGAAGGUGUGGAUGGGUCACGAUUUGCAAUGUUGGAAAGAACUGAUAAAAUCUGAGAUUCGUUAAUGUAUCCAUCAAAUAGGUCCGAUGAAUGGAAAACAUCUAAAUUAUGGCAUAUUUGAAUAUCACAAAGUAUUGUAAUAAUGUUAACUACAAAGAACACAGGAAAAUCUGAAGGCGUGAAGUAACAUAAAGUGAUAUGAUUAGAACAGCAUAUAUAUUGACUACAUCUAUCUAUCUAUUUUUUUUAAAGAAAACAAAACCAUUUAUCUGUUAGAAAGCCAGAUUUGGCGAAAUAAAAUAAGCAUUGCAAAACUGACCCAACCUUUUAGCCCAGAGAUCUCCUUAGUAAGGCCCAAGGAUGUUAUUAAAAGGAAAAAAAAAAUUUGUAGAAAAACCUUUACAGUGGAUUUGUCAUUAGGGAAAAAACAACCAACAACAACAGGUAAACAGCCUAGAAGCCCAACAGUUGGGGGAUGACUGAAUAAAUUGUGGCAUAUCCAAAUUUCUUGCCUUCUCCAUGAGGGGAGGAGGGGAGGGAGUGAGAGAAUUUGGAACUCAAAAUUUAAAAAUGAAUGUUAAAAAUUAUUUUCACAUGUAAUUGGGAAAAAAUAAAAUACUAAAUAAAUUUUAAAAUUAUGGCAUAUCAAGGUAAUGAAAUAUUAAUCAAAGGAACCUAUGGACUCACAAAUGUGAAUAUUCCCUUUCAACAAUGUACUUUAUUCAUGCCUGCUUGUAUCAAAUGACACUUGUUGGUGUUCUCUGACUUCGCCAGCGUGUCUCCACCCAGUAUGCUGGGGCAUGUGAUAGCAGGAGGCUAGGCCAUCUCUCCAUCAGUUCUUUCCCACUCUGGACACAUGAUCAGCCCAUCAUAUUUUUCAAUCAUACAUUUCUUUGAUGAUAUAAUUUACUCCUGGUUUUUUUUUUGUUAAAUGUUACAACCUGUACUUGAGCCCAACGUAUUACAUACUGUUCUAGAAAAGUUACAAAUAUGAAUAUAAUGAAUCAUGGAAAGAUUUAUGUGAAAUGAUAAAGCAGAAUCAGUACAACUAUUAAAAAUAGUAACAAAAUCUAAAAAUGGAAG